GUCGUUGUAGUAUAGUGGUGAGUAUUCCCGCCUGUCACGCGGGUGACCCGAAUUCGAUCCCAGGCAGCGGCG
rfam:Picea glauca, whole genome shotgun sequence.